UAUAGAGGUCCCAAGCGUUGUUCGGAUUCACUGGGCGUAAAGGGUGCGUAGGCGGCCAGAUAAGUCCGCUGUGAAAUCUCGAGGCUCAACUUCGAGCUGUCGGUGGAAACUGUCUGGCUAGAGUCCGGAAGAGGAGAAUGGAAUUCCUGGUGUAGCGGUGAAAUGCGCAGAUAUCAGGAAGAACACCCGUGGCGAAGGCGGUUCUCUGGGACGGUACUGACGCUGAGACGCGAAAGCGUGGGGAGCGAACAGG
rnacentral:rRNA from 1 species